rnacentral:rRNA from 1 species
GGGCGCAGCUGAUCCAGCAUGCCGCGUGCAGGAGAAGGCCUUCGGGUUGUAAACUGCUUUUGUACGGARCGAAAAGGUCUUUCCUAAUACGAGAGGCUGAUGACGGUACCGUAAGAAUAAGCACCGGCUAACUACGUGCCAGCAGCCGCGGUAAUACGUAGGGUGCGAGCGUUAAUCGGAAUUACUGGGCGUAAAGCGUGCGCAGGCGGUUUUGUAAGACAGGCGUGAAAUCCCCGGGCUCAACCUGGGAAYGGCGYUUGUGACUGCAAAGCUGGAGUGCGGCAGAGGGGGAUGGAAUUCCGCGUGUAGCAGUGAAAUGCGUAGAUAUGCGGAGGAACACCGAUGGCGAAGGCAAUCCCCUGGGCCUGYACUGACGCUCAUGCACGAAAGCGUGGGGAGCAAACAGGAUUAGAUACCCUGGUAGUCCACGCCCUAAACGAUGUCAACUGGUUGUUGGGUCUUUACUGACUCAGUAACGAAGCUAACGCGUGAAGUUGACCGCCUGGGGAGUACGGCCGCAAGGUUGAAACUCAAAKGAAUUGACGG